UACAGGGGGGGCAAGCGUUGUUCGGAAUUACUGGGCGUAAAGGGCUCGUAGGUGGCCAACUAAGUCAGACGUGAAAUCCCUCGGCUUAACCGGGGAACUGCGUCUGAUACUGGAUGGCUUGAGUUUGGGAGAGGGACGCGGAAUUCCAGGUGUAGCGGUGAAAUGCGUAGAUAUCUGGAGGAACAUCGGUGGCGAAGGCGGCAUCCUGGACCGGUAUUGACGCUGAGGCGCGAAAGCCAGGGGAGCAAACGGG
rnacentral:rRNA from 1 species